CAAGUAUGCCAGAUGAUCGCGGGCACCGAACGAAAGAAAGUGUCUGAGGAAAGUCCGGGCUCCGCAGGGCAGGAUGCCGGUUAACGGCCGGUGGAGGCGACUCCAAGGAAAGUGCAACAGAAAAUAACCGCCCUGUUUCAGGGUAAGGGUGAAAAGGCGAGGUAAGAGCUCACCGCUGCCAUGGUAACACGGCAGGCUGUGUAAACCCCAUCCGGAGCAACACCGCAUAAGGAACGCUACGUUUGCCCGACAGUUCCAAAGGUGGCUAAAGAUACGCGGUAACGCGCAUUCGCAGAUAGAUGAUCAUCCAGUACAGAACCCGGCUUAUGACAUACUUGCUCA
rnacentral:RNase_P_RNA from 1 species